rnacentral:rRNA from 1 species
GCAAGUCGAGCGGUAACAAAGAUAGCUUGCUAUCUGCUGACGAGCGGCGGACGGGUGAGUAAUGCCUAGGAAAUUGCCUUGAUGUGGGGGAUAACCAUUGGAAACGAUGGCUAAUACCGCAUAAUGCCUACGGGCCAAAGAGGGGGAUCUUCGGGCCUCUCGCCAUUUGAUUAGCCCAAGUGAGAUUAGCUAGUUGGUAAGGUAAUGGCUUACCAAGGCGACGAUCUCUAGCUGGUCUGAGAGGAUGAUC